CAAACGACUCUCGGCAACGGAUAUCCCGGCUCUCGCAUCGAUGAAGAACGUAGCGAAAUGCGAUACUUGGUGUGAAUUGCAGAAUCCCGUGAACCAUCGAGUUUUUGAACGCAAGUUGCGCCCGAUGCCUUAGGCCGAGGGCACGUCUGCCUGGGUGUCACGU
rnacentral:rRNA from 1 species